GCACCUGGAUGCCUAAUACAUGGCUCGUGCUUUUGCUGCUGUCUGGCAUCUGUCUAGUGUUGCUGCUGGUGCGUACAGCUUUGAUGCAAUGUUUAACUUGUUUGUUUUAAUAGUUAAUGAAAUCAUUGUUUGGUUGUUGCUGCAGCUGUGAUAGUUGCUCCAUGGUUCUCUGCUCCCCAGAUCAGUCCUGACUAAUUCCCCAUGGUGGUGGCUUUAACUGCUGCUGUUUUGCCCUUUUUAGUAGUGUUUGCCUUUAGUUUAAGUACUUUUCUUUUUGGUCCCUUUAUCUCAUUGAUUGUCCCUGUUAAGUUUUGUUUGGUUUGUGCAUAUCGUUCUGUUUUUGUAUGACUUUGACUUAGUGUUUAUUUAGUUUGCCGUCAACCAACUGGAAAUUGCUUGUUUAUUUUGUUUUUGUUACUUAAUUAUUUGUGUUUUUCUUUCAGCAACUUAGUUGGGGAGGUUAGGUACCCCGGGUGAGGUCCCCACACUUUGCAUGCGAGUUAUGAGCUGUGGGUCAUAAAUAGAUGACACUGAAGUUUGGAUUGCUGUGAGAUUUACUUCAAGAAGGUCCCUCAAAGCAGAAGACUUCACCUGUCCGCCCAUACGGAUGAUCUCAGGAUGUGGGACAUGAGACAAAAAAAACAAUGGGGAAGUGUCAGACAAAACAACAGAGUCUGACUCUGUGAUGAUAUUUUUUGUCAUAUCAAUGCUAUCUUAAGUUUGACACAUUCACAAUAUGUUGAUAUUGUUUAGACUUCAUAUAGAAAAUUUCCAAGGGGGCUUGCAGGAAGAAAUCCAGGUGAAGUUGGGGUUAAAAUCUCAGCUGUUUGGGUUUACACAGACAGCUCACCCUGUAAACCACUAAUAUUUGUGACGACAAAGGGCUCGAGAAAGCAGCGGAGGUGGGGCAAAGUCAUUGCUUUGCAAGUCCCG